UUUUAAUAAUUAAUUUUCUAGGAACUGACUUCUACUAGAUGAUAUUCAAAGUUAUAAAUACUUCUUUUUUUUCCUUAGGAGGCUUGGUGUUUCUCAAACUUGCCUUUUUUCAAAUUCUUCAUUGGCAAGGAGUUAUGAUUCCCUCCUUCAGCAAGAUCAAAAAUUCACCCUUCUUCUCAGGACCAUCUUUUACUGGAUCUCUCCACUUACAUUGCUGCGUUUUUUCUUCUAAGAUGCUGAAUAGACCCUCAGCUCUGGGUUUCAUUUCUCCAUCUGAUUCAUCCCACCCAGGAUCUGUGAAGUUGGCAGCAUGCUAUAUAAUUUCUCUCUGCUUACUUCUUCCCCCUGCAGGUUUACAAUAGUGAAUUUACUGCAGCAGAGAAAAUAUCAUUCUGAUCAAAUAUUGAAAAAUAUUUCUAUAUACUUUUUUAUAGAUUUAUUUAUUCUUAGCCUGUAAUUUUUCUUAUGAUGUUCAAAUCAAUCCAUUAUCUAGCAAAUAAAGGAAAUUCUAGAGAGAAAUGUCUUAAUGCACUAAGGAACACAUAUUUAUUGUAACAUUUAGGUGUUAUAAAGAACUGUGAUUGCCUCCAAAAAAAACUAUUUCAAGGGAACACAAUGGUAUAGCUUUUUAAAUGGUACACACUAGCUCAUUCUCCAAGCCCCCUUGCUGGUUGCUCUCUUCCUGUCCUCUAUUUGUACAGGAGGUUCAUUGAAUCACAGCUUUUCUGCCUGCCUGAGUUUCACCCACUCAUUAUCAGGAAUGAAUCACAUCUCCGUAGCAUCUCCUCUCCUCCCAGCCAGUCCCCAAACAGAAGAACCAGCCCACAGAUGAGCUCCUGAUUUCAGUCAUGUGAGCGAUUCUCCCACCCCAGUGGAUGUGGGCGACCACCUGUGGUGUGUGCACAGCUCGGCACUGGCUGGGUGGGUACAGCUGGGCACUGGGGCUGCACAGCACCAGGGAUGCCAGGGGAGCCCAGUCCCUGGCAGUGGGAAGUCAUCAGCUUAAAAGAGCUACCAUGGUACCUGCUGAAAUAUCUCUUUCCUUCCCACACUGUUUCUCCUUGCUUGUGUAAUGACCCCACUACUCCCCUUACCUCCAGGAAUGUGGUUCUAAGCUGUUGCAGUUUUCAGUGUAUUCGCUUAUGCUGCAGGUAUGCUUUAACACCAUUCCCAAAAGUGACUUGGAUUAUUGACUGAUAAAUGGUUCAAAAAUAGCUGGUCUAUCUUUUUCUUCUUUUUUUUUUCCCUCUCAAACUUGUAAAAGCAGCUGACAACCUGGGGUUCAGAUUGUCCCAUAUUUCAAAAGAGAAAUAGAUGUUCUACUCAUAUAGAAAUUACUGACUACUGUAGUCCUGAAGUCCUGGAGCUGAGUCAAGCUUUUCCACCAAAGAUAAAAUAAAUACAUUCAUAUUAGCAGCUUCUUUUGACAGUUUUUGUUAUUUUUACUUUAUGCACAUGGAUUUUUAAAAAGAGGCUUUAAUGCCCAGAUCUUUCUUCCCAGAGCCUG
rnacentral:lncRNA from 13 species